rnacentral:rRNA from 1 species
CGAUCGCCGGCGGCGUGCCUAAUACAUGCAAGUAGAACGCUGAAGACUUUAGCUUGCUAAAGUUGGAAGAGUUGCGAACGGGUGAGUAACGCGUAGGUAACCUGCCUACUAGCGGGGGAUAACUAUUGGAAACGAUAGCUAAUACCGCAUAACAGCAUUUAACCCAUGUUAGAUGCUUGAAAGGAGCAAUUGCUUCACUAGUAGAUGGACCUGCGUUGUAUUAGCUAGUUGGUGAGGUAACGGCUCACCAAGGCGACGAUACAUAGCCGACCUGAGAGGGUGAUCGGCCACACUGGGACUGAGACACGGCCCAGACUCCUACGGGAGGCAGCAGUAGGGAAUCUUCGGCAAUGGGGGCAACCCUGACCGAGCAACGCCGCGUGAGUGAAGAAGGUUUUCGGAUCGUAAAGCUCUGUUGUAAGAGAAGAACGUGUGUGAGAGUGGAAAGUUCACACAGUGACGGUAACUUACCAGAAAGGGACGGCUAACUACGUGCCAGCAGCCGCGGUAAUACGUAGGUCCCGAGCGUUGUCCGGAUUUAUUGGGCGUAAAGCGAGCGCAGGCGGUUUAAUAAGUCUGAAGUUAAAGGCAGUGGCUUAACCAUUGUUCGCUUUGGAAACUGUUAGACUUGAGUGCAGAAGGGGAGAGUGGAAUUCCAUGUGUAGCGGUGAAAUGCG